CACUGCGUCCGCUCCCCACGGCCGGCGGCGCUGUCUCUUCUCGGCGCCCAGCACACACCGGCUCCAGGCUCCGAUCAGCUGGCGGCGUCGUGACGCACGAGCUGCGAAUCGCAGUCCGGGGCCAAUCACCGCCCACUGCUGGGCAACGUGGCCACGCCCAUCCGAGGGCGCCGGGGCCUCGCCCUGAUCCCGCCUCUCCGGGCGCCCUGGCUCUGAUUGGCAAGGAGGCUACCCCUUUGCCAAGCGGCAUUGCACCAAGCCAUGCCCACCAACUCCGGAGCCGGCCAAUAGAUGGAAGGGCGUGGCUCAGCCUUUCGCGUCAGCGACCUGCUUAGAAAAGCGCUACGUCAAACGAGAGUCCUAAAGAGCUGGCGAAAGUCACGGCGUCUGCGUGUGCGGUGCAUGCCGGUCCGUGUAGUUCGCAGCCCGACACCCUCAUUCCCAGAACCCAGCGCGCUCUGUGAGUUGGCAUUUUUAAACUGAGCUCGGAAUCCAGCCCAGGGAAGUCCUUAAAGGGCGACCGCCCCUCUGUGUUGGAGCCGUGAGUGCUUCUUUUAGACAUCCCCCAAACGGACUCGCCGGCCUCCGCAGGACGCUCUAGCUCUUUAAGGAAAGGUGGAGCUGACUCAAGAGCAGGAGUGGGCAGAGCAUCAGCGCCCAGGGCGGCCGACUCUGCGGAUUUUGGAGGAGGGCGGAUGCCCACCUCGCCCAGCCCAGCCCAGCCCGCUCCUCCUGGGAGCCCUUCCUAACCAGAGGAGGCUUUUUGCUUGGAUGUCUCUUCCCAGUCCCAGCCUCCCAAGAGGUAGCUUUCUAACAAAAGAUUCAUAGCACAGUCCUCACCUUAAGGUAGAGGGAGGGCUUCUGGUCAGAAAUUAGGGGAUGGGCCAUGCCAAAGUGCAAAUGGUCAGCAAUCGCAUCCUCUGAUUAACCCCUAUUCAGUCCCGCCCUCCAAAGCUCUUCACUGACUCAGGCCUACUUAGGGAAGAGAUUUCAGAGGUGGAGACCAAUGAGCAGGCUGCUCCUUCCCCAGGGGCCAAUCAGAGUCUAGGUGAGCGGGGGAUGGGCACAAACUGAAAUGAACCCAAUGACUUGGCAAAAGCUGCUGGUCCGCUUUUUUAAAGGGGCAAGCCUGAGACCUGCCCCACCUCAUCACUCCCCGCGACCCCCCGAAGAGGAACGUGUGGACUGAAAUCCAUGACUUUUCCUUAAGCUCCAAAGAGUGUCUGAGAGGAACUGGGCAGGAGAGAUGAGCCUGGAGGGUGAGAUCGUUCCAUCUGAUAAAUAAUCGCUCCAUCAGCGGUGCCCGGCCCACAGUAGCCAUCCCACCCAGAGCAAGGCUCCCAAUUGCUACUGGGGAACUGCUGAAGGACUCCAGGCGGAACACGUUGGCCGCAGAAGCCAGUGUCGUAGGCUGGGAAGUGCUGCAGGAAGCCCCAGCUCAAGGCCCUUGGGGUGGCUCUUUUCCAUUUUCUUCUGCGCACUGACGCCACCCUCUAGGCCAAAAGCACAGGCUUAGAGUCCAAGGUUUCUCAACCUCAGCACCCACUGGCAUUUGCAAGUUUCUUUGAAUGGCUGCACCAUAGGCCAGACCCUAAGUGGAGCCAUGAUGACCCCCGUGACCGGCAAGGACGCCCCAGGAUGGCCUCCUGGAAGCAGAAAAUCUGAAGUAACUGGAAGACCAUGAAAAGGGGAAGAAUGACCAACCUGCAGCACCUAAUUAACUUGAAACAUUCUUCUGUGGUUCCCUGUUCCCGCCUCAAUUGAUAAGGCCAUUGGACUUUGUAACCAUCCUUGUUCAACCUCGUGACUGCAGACCCUACGGCCCCCUGCCAGCUUGCAAAAACCGCCCUCAACUGUAACUUCUGUAACCUACUGCCUACCCCAAACCUAUAAAACCAACUCCUAUCCCGCCGCCCUCCGAUGACUCUGGACUCAGCCUGCCCGCACCUGGGCAAAUAAGCAGCCAUGUUGCU